GAGUUUGAUCGUGGCUCAGGAUGAACGCUAGCUACAGGCUUAACACAUGCAAGUCGAGGGGCAGCAUGCGGAUUGCUUGCAAUCCGCGAUGGCGACCGGCGCACGGGUGAGUAACGCGUAUCCAACCUUCCCUACACUUCGGCAUAACCCGGCGAAAGUCGGACUAAUUCCGAAUGGUCUCCUUUGACGGCAUCAGAAGCGGAGUAAAGAUUUAUCGGUGUAGGAUGGGGAUGCGUCCGAUUAGCUGGUUGGUGUGGUAACGGCUCACCAAGGCUACGAUCGGUAGGGGUUCUGAGAGGAAGGUCCCCCCAACUGGAACUGAGACACGGUCCAGACUCCUACGGGAGGCAGCAGUGAGGAAUAUUGGUCAAUGGGCGAAAGCCUGAUGCAGCAACGCCGCGUGAGUGAGGAAGGUCUUCGGAUCGUAAAGCUCUGUUGUAAGAGAAAAACGGCACUCAUAGGGAAUGAUGAGUGAGUGAUGGUAUCUUA
rnacentral:rRNA from 1 species